GGAACUCCCACAUACCCUGGCAUUUCAUCUCCUCAAUACCUUUCACCUCUUCCUGCUUCUUUCACAGACUGAUCAAGAAAACUGCUGGGGCUUGAGGGGCCUGGAAAAGCCACUCCCUCCUUGACCCCACUGCUACGUUGUGCACUGCUUGAUCUCUUGGAAAUUGCCAACCCUGGAGAGAAGCAGUUUUGACUUCCCUUCUGUCCUGGACAAACCACCAAGGGAACUUAAGAAUGUUUUAUUCACUUCUUAUGUGACAGCAGACUACUCACUAGGUGGUAUGAUCCAACUUAAUAAGAGACGGCAAACAUGGUCAUGUGUUUGCAACAUCUGCAAUGAGCUAAUGGAGCAACUCAUAAGGGAAUGGAAUUUGGCAUUUGUCCAGAGGACCCAGAUCUACACAAAUCUUGUCCUGUUAAUUCUGCCUGCAGUGAGAGAAGUGGCUCUAAGAAAUAAAGUAAUUAUGGCAGAUCAGAGGUAGAGGAGAACUCAAGAAACCAUCCAGGAUGAUCCUGUCAUUUGAGUGAUGAAGAAACUGAGGUCCAGGCAACAGAAGGAACUUGGCAAAAAUGACAUUGGCAAUCAGUUCUCUGGACUUCCAGGUAAGCACACCACACAGAAUUACAGGUGUUGUCUUCUGGGGACCCAAAUUACUUGUUCCU
rnacentral:lncRNA from 1 species